rnacentral:rRNA from 1 species
CUAAGCCAUGCGAGUCAAAUGUUCCUUCGUGAACAUGGCGUACUGCUCAGUAACACGUGGAUAACCUGCCCUUAGGACUGGCAUAACCCCGGGAAACUGGGGAUAAUUCCGGAUAGUUCAUGGUAGCUGGAAUGCUCCAUGAUCGAAAGCUAUUGCGCCUAAGGAUGGGUCUGCGGUCUAUCAGGUAGUAGUGGGUGUAAUGUACCUACUAGCCGACGACGGAUACGGGUUGUGGGAGCAAGAGCCCGGAGAUGGAUUCUGAGACAUGAAUCCAGGCCCUACGGGGCGCAGCAGGCGCGAAAACUUUACAAUGCGGGAAACCGCGAUAAGGGGACACCGAGUGCCAGCAUCUUAUGUUGGCUGUCCGCAUGUAUAAAUCACAUGUGUUAGCAAGGGCCGGGCAAGACCGGUGCCAGCCGCCGCGGUAACACCGGCGGCCCGAGUGGUGGCCACUAUUAUUGGGUCUAAAGGGUCCGUAGCCGGUUUGGUCAGUCUUCCGGGAAAUCUGACGGCUUAACCGUUAGGCUUUCGGGGGAUGCUACCAGGCUUGGGACCGGGAGAGGUAAGAGGUACUACGGGGGUAGGAGUGAAAUCUUGUAAUCCUCGUGGGACCACCAGUGGCGAAGGCGUCUUACCAGAACGGGUCCGACGGUGAGGGACGAAAGCUGGGGGCACGAACCGGAUUAGAUACCCGGGUAGUCCCAGCCGUAAACUAUGCUCGCUAGGUGUCAGGGACGGUGCGACCGUUUCUGGUGCCGCAGGGAAGCCGUGAAGCGAGCCACCUGGGAAGUACGGUCGCAAGGCUGAAACUUAAAGGAAUUGGCGGGGGAGCACUACAACGGGUGGAGCCUGCGGUUUAAUUGGACUCAACGCCGGAAAACUCACCGGGGGCGACAGCAAUAUGUAGGUCAAGCUAAAGAC